rnacentral:tRNA from 1 species
GAUCUUGUAGCUCAGUUGGUUAGAGCUCGAUACUUUUAAUAUCGGGGUCGACAGUUCGAAUCUGUCCGAGAUCA